GGGGCUUUAGCUCAGCUGGGAGAGCGCCUGCCUUGCACGCAGGAGGUCAGCGGUUCGAUCCCGCUAAGCUCCACCA
rnacentral:tRNA from 25 species